AGUGAACGCUGGCGGUAGGCCUAACACAUGCAAGUCGAACGGCAGCACAGUAAGAGCUUGCUCUUACGGGUUGCGAGUGGCGGACGGGUGAGGAAUACAUCGGAAUCUACUUUUUCGUGGGGGAUAACGUAGGGAAACUUACGCUAAUACCGCAUACGACCUACGGGUGAAAGCAGGGGAUCUUCGGACCUUGCGCGAUUGAAUGAGCCGAUGUCGGAUUAGCUAGUUGGCGGGGUAAAGGCCCACCAAGGCGACGAUCCGUAGCUGGUCUGAGAGGAUGAUCAGCCACACUGGAACUUGGACACGGUCCAGACUCCUACGGGAGGCAGCAGUGGGGAAUAUUGGACAAUGGGGGCAAGCCUGAUCCAGCCAUACCGCGUGGGUUAAGAAGGCCUUCGGGUUGUAAAGCCCUUUUGUUGGGAAAGAAAAGCAGCAGGUUAAUACCACGCUGUUCUGACGGUACCCAAAGAAUAAGCACCGGCUAACUUCGUG
rnacentral:rRNA from 1 species